AUUGAACGCUGGCGGCAGGCCUAACACAUGCAAGUCGAGCGAGCGGCGGACGGGUGAGUAAUGUAUGGGGACUGCCCGAUAGAGGGGGAUAACUACUGGAAACGGUAGCUAAUACCGCAUACUAUCGGAUAACCCAUAUGGGAUUAGCUAGUAGGUGAGGUAAUGGCUCACCUAGGCGACGAUCCCUAGCUGGUCUGAGAGGAUGAUCAGCCACACUGGGACUGCGACACGGCCCAGACUCACACGGGGGCAGCAGUGAUGAAUAUUGCACGAUGGGCGCAAGCCUGAUACAGCCAUGCCGCGUGUAUGAAGAAGGCCCUAGGGUUGUAAAGUACUUUCAGUCGGGGGGCGUUGCCGACAGCUUAAGCACCGGCUAACUCCGUGCCAGCCGCCGCGGUAAUAC
rnacentral:rRNA from 1 species